rnacentral:misc_RNA from 1 species
GAUGAAGAACGUAGCGAAAUGCGAUACUUGGUGUGAAUUGCAGAAUCCCGUGAACCAUCGAGUCUUUGAACGCAAGUUGCGCCUCAAGCCAUUAGGUUGAGGGCACGUCUGCCUGGGCUUCACAUAUCGUUGCCUGAUGCCAGUUUCCUCGUGAUGGGUGACUGUGCAGGGCGAAUGAUGGCUUCCCGUGAGCAUUGUUGCCUCAUGGUUGGUUGAAAAUUGAGUCCUUGGUAGGGAGCGCCGUGAUAGAUGGUGGUUGAGUGACGAACGAGACCCAAUCAUGUGAGACCCCUACCGAAUUUGGCCUUCAUGACCCACAUGCGUCUUUGGAACGCUCAUGACGAGACCUCAGGUCAGGCGGGGCUACCCGCUGAGUUUAAGCAUAUCAAUAAGCGGAGGA